UAAAGAUUCAUCGCUGAUAGAUAGGCAUGCGUUCCAUUAGGCAGUUGGCGGGGUAACGGCCCACCAAACCGACGAUGGAUAGGGGUUCUGAGAGGAAGGUCCCCCACAUUGGUACUGAGACACGGACCAAACUCCUACGGGAGGCAGCAGUGAGGAAUAUUGGUCAAUGGGCGUAAGCCUGAACCAGCCAAGUCGCGUGAGGGAUGAAGGUUCUAUGGAUCGUAAACCUCUUUUAUAAGGGAAUAAAGUGCGGGACGUGUCCCGUUUUGUAUGUACCUUAUGAAUAAGGAUCGGCUAACUCCGUGCCAGCAGCCGCGGUAAUACGGAGGAUCCGAGCGUUAUCCGGAUUUAUUGGGUUUAAAGGGUGCGUAGGCGGCCUUUUAAGUCAGCGGUGAAAGUCUGUGGCUCAACCAUAGAAUUGCCGUUGAAACUGGGAGGCUUGAGUAUGUUUGAGGCAGGCGGAAUGCGCGGUGUAGCGGUGAAAUGCUUAGAUAUCACGCAGAACCCCGAUUGCGAAGGCAGCCUGCCAAGCCAUGACUGACGCUGAUGCACGAAAGCGUGGGGAUCAAACAGGAUUAGAUACCCUGGUAGUCCACGCAGUAAACGAUGAUCACAAGCUGUUUGCGAUACAGUGUAA
rnacentral:rRNA from 1 species